UGUGGGACCCAUCUUAGGCAUCCUCCUUGCUGGUGUGAGGCAUCACACCAGCACCUCUCCUCUCUCAUUUGGUUAGGUUGCGAAGGUGAUUUGAUCAGAGUUCAUCUCAUUUUUUUGCAUUAUCUAACGUAUAUGCGAAGUAGAAGAUCUGCACUUCCAGGCCUCCGUGAAGGUUUGUUUCAGAUUUUUGGAUAUUUGAUCUCUG
rnacentral:lncRNA from 1 species